GAUGAAGAACGUAGCGAAAUGCGAUACGUAGUGUGAAUUGCAGAAUUCAGUGAAUCAUCGAAUCUUUGAACGCACAUUGCGCCCGCGAGUAUUCUCGCGGGCAUGCCUGUCCGAGCGUCAUUUCAACCCUCAGGGCCCGCCUGCUUCGGCAGGCGCGGCGCUGGUGUUGGGGAUCGGCCUAACCGCCGUCCCCCAAAUACAGUGGCGGUCUCGCUGCAGCCUCCCCUGCGUAGUAGCAACACUCGCAUGCGGAGCGCGGCGCGGCCACGCCGUAAAACCCCCGACUUUCUGAACGUUGACCUCGGAUCAGGUAGGAAUACCCGCUGAACUUAAGCAUAUCAAUAAGCGGAGGA
rnacentral:misc_RNA from 1 species